GCGAGGGUUGCCGAGCCAGGUCAAAGGCGCUGGAUUUAGGGUCCAGUUUCGCAGGAAUUCGGGGGUUCGAAUCCUCCCCCUCGCA
rnacentral:tRNA from 1 species